UGAGGUGUAGCCCAAUGAUAGAGCACUUGCUUAACAUGCACAAAGUCCUGGGUUCAAUCCCCAGCACUGAAA
rnacentral:tRNA from 1 species